GAUGAAGAACGGUAGCGAAAUGCGAUAAGUAGUGUGAAUUGCAGAAUUCCGUGAAUCAUCGAAUCUUUGAACGCACAUUGCGCCUUCUGGUAUUCCGGAAGGCAUGCCUGUUCGAGAGUCAUUAACAACCGUUUCGAUCCCUUUCUUUCAGAAAUUACAAAGAGGAAAAGGGUUUGGUUAUGGUGGAGGAGGGAAAGGGAGCGUUUAGCCUGUAAAAAAAGAGGCUGUGUUCCGCCUCCCCCCCAAAAUUGUACAGGCGGUCGUGUGCGCCCACGCAUCGAGGUGUUGUAAAAGCUGCCACGGCACUUUUCACCUGUGCAGUGCGAGAUUGGCCAGCCGGUUUAAAAACCCCUCCAAACAAUCAAAGGUUGACCUCGGAUCAGGUAGGGAUACCCGCUGAACUUAAGCAUAUCAAUAAGCGGAGGA
rnacentral:misc_RNA from 1 species